CAGUCUGAUCCAGCCAUGCCGCGUGCAGGAUGACGGUCCUAUGGAUUGUAAACUGCUUUUGUACGAAAAAAAACAACAUUACGUGUAAUGUCUUGACGGUAUCGUAAGAAUAAGGAUCGGCUAACUCCGUGCCACCAACCGCGGUAAUACGGACGAUCCAAGCGUUAUCCGGAAUCAUUGGGUUUAAAGGGUCCGUAUGCGGUUUAAUAAGUCAGUGGUGAAAGCCCAUCGCUCAACGGUGGAACGGCCAUUGAUACUGCUGAACUUGAAUUAUUAGGAAGUAACUAGAAUAUGUAGUGUAGCGGUGAAAUGCUUAGAGAUUACAUGGAAUACCAAUUGCGAAGGCAGGUUACUACUAAUGGAUUGACGCUGAUGGACGAAAGCGUGGGUAGCGAACAGGAUUAGAUACCCUGGUAGUCCACGCCGUAGACGAUGGAUACUAGCUGUUGGGGGCAACUUCAGUGGCUAAACGAAAGUGAUAAGUAUCCCACCUGGGGAGUACGUUCGCAAGAAUGAAACUCAGAGGAAUUGACGGGGGCCCGCACAAGCGGUGGAGCAUGUGGUUUAAUUCGAUGAUACGCGAGGAACCUUACCAAGGCUUAAAUGUAGAUUGACCGAUUUGGAAACA
rnacentral:rRNA from 1 species